CCAGACGGCCGGACGGCCGCCUUCGCCCUCGGGCGGGGGAGGAAAGUCCGGGCUCCACGGGAACACGGAGCCGGGUAACGCCCGGCGGGGGCGACCCCAGGGACAGUGCCACAGAGAGCAGACCGCCGGCCGCCGGGGCUUCGGCCCAUGGCCUGCCGGCAAGGGUGAAAGGGUGCGGUAAGAGCGCACCGCGUCGCCGGUAACGGCGAUGGCACGGCAAACCCCUCCGGGAGCAAGACCAAGUAGGGGCGGUUCGCCCGUCGCGAGAUGGGCAGUGCGUUCCCGCGCCAGCCGCCCGGGUCGGUCGCGCGAGGCGCCCGGUAACGGGCGUCCCAGAUGAAUGGUCGUCGCGUGGGCUCUCGUGGGCCCGCGUACAGAACCCGGCUUAUAGGCCGUCUGGCGCC
rnacentral:RNase_P_RNA from 1 species